rnacentral:rRNA from 1 species
CGGCUCAUCGCAUCCUGGGGCUGGAGCAGGUCCCAAGGGUUUGGCUGUUCGCCAAUUAAAGCGGUACGCGAGCUGGGUUUAGAACGUCGUGAGACAGUUCGGUCCCUAUCUGCCGUGGGCGCAGGAUGCUUGAGAGGAGCUGUUCAUAGUACGAGAGGACCUGAACGGACGCACCUCUAGUGUUCCGGUUGUCUCGCCAGAGGCAUAGCCGGGUAGCUAUGUGCGGAACGGAUAACCGCUGAAAGCAUCUAAGCGGGAAGCCGGCCUCGAGAUUAGGCAUCCCGGGCCGCAAGGCCCCUGAAGGCCCCUCGAAGACUACGAGGCAAUAGGCAGGGUGUGGAAGCGCAGUAAUGCGUGGAGCUAACCUGUACUAAUCGGCCGUGAGGCUUGACCUA